rnacentral:rRNA from 1 species
UCUGGUUGAUCCUGCCAGUAGUCAUAUGCUUGUCUCAAAGAUUAAGCCAUGCAUGUCUAAGUAUAAGCAAUUAUACCGCGAAACUGCGAAUGGCUCAUUAAAUCAGUUAUCGUUUAUUUGAUAGUACCUUACUACUUGGAUAACCGUGGUAAUUCUAGAGCUAAUACAUGCUAAAAAUCCCGACUUCGGAAGGGAUGUAUUUAUUAGAUUAAAAACCAAUGCCCUUCGGGGCUCUCUGGUGAUUCAUAAUAACUUCUCGAAUCGCACGGCCUUGCGCCGGCGAUGGUUCAUUCAAAUUUCUGCCCUAUCAACUUUCGACGGCUGGGUCUUGGCCAGCCAUGGUGACAACGGGUAACGGAGGGUUAGGGCUCGACCCCGGAGAAGGAGCCUGAGAAACGGCUACUACAUCCAAGGAAGGCAGCAGGCGCGCAAAUUACCCAAUCCCGACUCGGGGAGGUAGUGACAAUAAAUACUGAUACAGGGCUCUUUUGGGUCUUGUAAUUGGAAUGAGUACAAUUUAAAUCCCUUAACGAGGAACAAUUGGAGGGCAAGUCUGGU